rnacentral:rRNA from 1 species
CGAAGGAGUGGCGAACGGGUGAGUAAUACAUAAGCAACCUACCCACGAAGACUGGGAUAAUCUCUGGAAACGGGGACUAAUACCGGAUAGGUAAUCGGAAGGCAUCUUCUGGUUAUUAAAGGUUAAAAACACUGGUGGAUGGGCUUAUGGCGCAUUAGUUAGUUGGUGAGGUAACGGCCCACCAAGACGAUGAUGCGUAGCCGGCCUGAGAGGGUGAACGGCCGCAUUGGGACUGAGACACGGCCCAG